rnacentral:rRNA from 1 species
CACCUGUUCCCAUUCCGAACACAGAAGUUAAGCCCACCAGCGCCGAUGGUACUGCUAACGCGGGAGAGUAGGUCGCCGCCAGUU